UACAGAGGGUGCGAGCGUUAAUCGGAAUUACUGGGCGUAAAGCGUGCGCAGACGGUCAUGUAAGUCGGGCGUGAAAGCCCCGGGCUCAACCUGGGAAUUGCAUUCGAGACUGCAUGGCUAGGGUGCGGAAGAGGGAAGCGGAAUUUCCGGUGUAGCGGUGAAAUGCGUAGAUAUCGGAAGGAACACCAGUGGCGAAAGCGGCUUCCUGGUCCAGCACCGACGUUCAGGCACGAAAGCGUGGGGAGCAAACAGG
rnacentral:rRNA from 1 species